UACGGAGGAUGCGAGCGUUAUCCGGAUUUAUUGGGUUUAAAGGGUGCGUAGGCUGUCGGAUAAGUUAGAGGUCAAAUGUCGGGGCUUAACCCCGUGCCUGCCUCUGAUACUGUUCGACUGGAGAGCGGAUGCAGCAGGCGGAAUGAGUAGUGUAGCGGUGAAAUGCAUAGAUAUAACUUAGAACACCGAUAGCGAAGGCAGCUUACCAGACUGAGUCUGACGCUGAUGCACGAGAGCAUGGGUAGCGAACAGG
rnacentral:rRNA from 1 species